CACCGGAGCUUGCUCCACCGAAAGAAAAGGAGUGGCGAACGGGUGAGUAACACGUGGGUAACCUGCCCAUCAGAAGGGGAUAACACUUGGAAACAGGUGCUAAUACCGUAUAACAAUCGAAACCGCAUGGUUUUGAUUUGAAAGGCGCUUUCGGGUGUCGCUGAUGGAUGGACCCGCGGUGCAUUAGCUAGUUGGUGAGGUAACGGCUCACCAAGGCCACGAUGCAUAGCCGACCUGAGAGGGUGAUCGGCCACAUUGGGACUGAGACACGGCCCAAACUCCUACGGGAGGCAGCAGUAGGGAAUCUUCGGCAAUGGACGAAAGUCUGACCGAGCAACGCCGCGUGAGUGAAGAAGGUUUUCGGAUCGUAAAACUCUGUUGUUAGAGAAGAACAAGGAUGAGAGUAACUGUUCAUCCCUUGACGGUAUCUAACCAGAAAGCCACGGCUAACUACGUGCCAGCAGCCGCGGUAAUACGUAGGUGGCAAGCGUUGUCCGGAUUUAUUGGGCGUAAAGCGAGCGCAGGCGGUUUCUUAAGUCUGAUGUGAAAGCCCCCGGCUCAACCGGGGAGGGUCAUUGGAAACUGGGAGACUUGAGUGCAGAAGAGGAGAGUGGAAUUCCAUGUGUAGCGGUGAAAUGCGUAGAUAUAUGGAGGAACACCAGUGGCGAAGGCGACUCUCUGGUCUGUAACUGACGCUGAGGCUCGAAAGCGUGGGGAGCAAACAGGAUUAGAUACCCUGGUAGUCCACGCCGUAAACGAUGAGUGCUAAGUGUUGGAGGGUUUCCGCCCUUCAGUGCUGCAGCUAACGCAUUAAGCACUCCGCCUGGGGAGUACGACCGCAAGGUUGAAACUCAAAGGAAUUGACGGGGGCCCGCACAAGCGGUGGAGCAUGUGGUUUAAUUCGAAGCAACGCGAAGAACCUUACCAGGUCUUGACAUCCUUUGACCACUCUAGAGAUAGAGCUUCCCCUUCGGGGGCAAAGUGACAGGUGGUGCAUGGUUGUCGUCAGCUCGUGUCGUGAGAUGUUGGGUUAAGUCCCGCAACGAGCGCAACCCUUAUUGUUAGUUGCCAUCAUUUAGUUGGGCACUCUAGCAAGACUGCCGGUGACAAACCGGAGGAAGGUGGGGGAUGACGUCAAAUCAUCAUGCCCCUUAUGACCUGGGCUACACACGUGCUACAAUGGGAAGUACAACGAGUCGCGAAGUCGCGAGGCUAAGCUAAUCUCUUAAAGCUUCUCUCAGUUCGGAUUGUAGGCUGCAACUCGCCUACAUGAAGCCGGAAUCGCUAGUAAUCGCGGAUCAGCACGCCGCGGGUGAAUACGUUCCCGGGCCUUGUACACACCGCCCGUCACACCACGAAAGUUUGUAACACCC
rnacentral:rRNA from 2 species